rnacentral:tRNA from 2 species
AGAAACUUAGGUUAGACCAAACCAAGGGCCUUCAAAGCCCUAAACAAGAGCCAAACCCUCUUAGUUUCUG